GCGUCGGUAAGGUGAUAUGAACCGUUAUAACCGGCGAUUUCCGAAUGGGGAAACCCAGUGUGUUUCGACACACUAUCAUUAACUGAAUCCAUAGGUUAAUGAGGCGAACCGGGGGAACUGAAACAUCUAAGUACCCCGAGGAAAAGAAAUCAACCGAGAUUCCCCCAGUAGCGGCGAGCGAACGGGGAGCAGCCCAGAGCCUGAAUCAGUAUGUGUGUUAGUGGAAGCGUCUGGAAAGGCGCGCGAUACAGGGUGACAGCCCCGUACACAAAAAUGCACAUGCUGUGAGCUCGAUGAGUAGGGCGGGACACGUGGUAUCCUGUCUGAAUAUGGGGGGACCAUCCUCCAAGGCUAAAUACUCCUGACUGACCGAUAGUGAACCAGUACCGUGAGGGAAAGGCGAAAAGAACCCCGGCGAGGGGAGUGAAAAAGAACCUGAAACCGUGUACGUACAAGCAGUGGGAGCACGCUUAGGCGUGUGACUGCGUACCUUUUGUAUAAUGGGUCAGCGACUUAUAUUCUGUAGCAAGGUUAACCGAAUAGGGGAGCCGAAGGGAAACCGAGUCUUAACUGGGCGUUAAGUUGCAGGGUAUAGACCCGAAACCCGGUGAUCUAGCCAUGGGCAGGUUGAAGGUUGGGUAACACUAACUGGAGGACCGAACCGACUAAUGUUGAAAAAUUAGCGGAUGACUUGUGGCUGGGGGUGAAAGGCCAAUCAAACCGGGAGAUAGCUGGUUCUCCCCGAAAGCUAUUUAGGUAGCGCCUCGUGAAUUCAUCUCCGGGGGUAGAGCACUGUUUCGGCAAGGGGGUCAUCCCGACUUACCAACCCGAUGCAAACUGCGAAUACCGGAGAAUGUUAUCACGGGAGACACACGGCGGGUGCUAACGUCCGUCGUGAAGAGGGAAACAACCCAGACCGCCAGCUAAGGUCCCAAAGUCAUGGUUAAGUGGGAAACGAUGUGGGAAGGCCCAGACAGCCAGGAUGUUGGCUUAGAAGCAGCCAUCAUUUAAAGAAAGCGUAAUAGCUCACUGGUCGAGUCGGCCUGCGCGGAAGAUGUAACGGGGCUAAACCAUGCAC
rnacentral:rRNA from 1 species